rnacentral:rRNA from 1 species
UACGUAGGGUGCGAGCGUUGUCCGGAAUUAUUGGGCGUAAAGAGCUCGUAGGCGGUCUGUCGCGUCGAUCGUGAAAACUUGGGGCUUAACCCUGAGCUUGCGGUCGAUACGGGCAUGACUGGAGUUCGGCAGGGGAGACUGGAAUUCCUGGUGUAGCGGUGAAAUGCGCAGAUAUCGGGAGGAACACCUAUUGCGAAGGCAGCUCGCUGGGACGUUACUGACGCUGAGACGCGAAAGCGUGGGGAGCAAACAGG